GACAGAACUAUCAGGCAGUGAAGAAGGCAGGACUAAGCAGAGAAAGGGGCUAUUGCAAAGUAAUUGCACCAAAAGCUUCAGGUAAUCCUGCCUCUAGUUCUGCAGCUAUGAUGGAUCUUCAGAGUAGUUCCAAACUUAGGCAAAAGGACCAGGCCUUUGCAUCUUCACAUGACUACAUCUUGUGGUCACUCCUGGAAAGAGAGAAAGUACUCAGUCUUUCACCAUGAGAGACUUUGAAAAAUUUACAACUCAGCCUGGCCAACGUAGUGAAAUCCUGUCUCUACAAAAAAUACAAAAACUUAGCUGGGUGUGAUGACAGACACCUGUAAUCCCAGCUACUCAGGAGGCUGAGGCAGGAAAAUUCCUUGAUCCUAGGAGGUGGAGUUCGCAGUGAGCUGAGAUCGAGAUCACGCCACUA